rnacentral:rRNA from 1 species
ACGGAGGCAGCAGUGGGGAAUAUUGGGCAAUGGGGGAAACCCUGACCCAGCAACGCCGCGUGAAGGAAGAAGGCCUUCGGGUUGUAAACUUCUUUUACCAGGGACGAAAUUUGACGGUACCUGGAGAAAAAGCAACGGCUAACUACGUGCCAGCAGCCGCGGUAAUACGUAGGUUGCAAGCGUUGUCCGGAUUUACUGGGUGUAAAGGGCGUAUAGGCGGAGCUGCAAGUCAGAUGUGAAAUCCCGGGGCUCAACCCCGGAACUGCAUUUGAAACUGUAGCCCUUGAGUAUCGGAGAGGCAAGCGGAAUUCCUAGUGUAGCGGUGAAAUGCGUAGAUAUUAGGAGGAACACCAGUGGCGAAGGCGGCUUGCUGGACGACAACUGACGCUGAGGCGCGAAAGCGUGGGGAGCAAACAGGAUUAGAUACCCUGGUA